rnacentral:lncRNA from 1 species
UUUGUUAUAUAUAGAACCCCUCCCCCUUAGGUUUCAUCAUCCCAAAAAUCUCAUUUUGAAAAUCCAAGUAGCUAAUUGUAACUUGGUGUUGAUCUUCUCUUUUGUAAUAUUUCUAGCGGAAAUAUUAAUUUGGUAGUGUCCGAGGACGUAAGCUAAAUUGGCCGAACCUCGUUAAAUUCUGGUGUUUUAUUUCUUAUUUGUUUGCUUAUAUUUAAUAGCUUUAUGUUGGUUAUAUUUAUUUAGUUAUUAUUGCUAUAAAUAACUAAGUGAGUUCUGUCUAGCUGUUGAGUUUUAAGUGGGACCAUUUGUGACCCCUCCAAUUUAACUGGGAAUUUUCUUAGUAUAAUUGUUGGCAUAAUAAUUAUCUAAAUAUUU